AACUUACGCUAUAAAAGUCACAGUUUCUGUACUAUAUUGGUAUGAGAAGCUUUCCAGCAAUGGAAUAAUUUUUAAGAUGCGACCUUCGGGUCGC
rnacentral:misc_RNA from 1 species